UACGUAGGGUGCAAGCGUUGUCCGGAAUUAUUGGGCGUAAAAGAGCUCGUAGGCGGUUUUGUCGCGUCUGCUGUGAAAACCCGAGGCUCAACCUCGGGCCUGCAGUGGGUACGGGCAGACUAGAGUGCGGUAGGGGAGAUUGGAAUUCCUGGUGUAGCGGUGGAAUGCGCAGAUAUCAGGAGGAACACCAAUGGCGAAGGCAGAUCUCUGGGCCGUAACUGACGCUGAGGAGCGAAAGCAUGGGGAGCGAACAGG
rnacentral:rRNA from 1 species